rnacentral:rRNA from 1 species
GACGAACGCUGGCGGCGUGCUUAACACAUGCAAGUCGAACGGACAGGCCCUGCUUUCAGUUUACUCGUGUUGCGAACGGGUGAGUAACACGUGGGUGAUCUGCCCUGCUCUUCGGCUUAGGCCUGUUCGACUGGGUCUAAUUCCUACUAGGUGCCAUUUUUAGUGUGAUGGUUCGAAAGUUUUUUCGGUGUAGGAUGAGCUCGUGACCUAUCAGCUUGUUGGUGGGGUGAUGGCCUACCAAGGCGGCUACGUGUAGCCGGACUGAGAGGCUGGACUGCCACACUGGGACUGAGAGAAGGCCCAGAUACGGACGGGAGGGAGCAGGGGGGAAGAGUGAACAAGGGGCGCAAGCCUGAUGCAGAGACGCCGCGUGGCGGAUGACGGCGUUAGGGUUGUAGACUACUUGCGCUAGGGACGAAGCAUUUCGUGACGGUACCUAGACAAGAAGCAACGGCUAACUACGUG